UUCCUGUCAGGUGUUACAGCCAUCCUCUGCUAUGUUCCUGUGCCACCUAAGCCGAAACGCAGCGCUCAGUUGGUAUCUUCUCCAGAAACUGGCUGGACAUGGAUGGCAUCACAAAAGUGCAAAUGCGACAUGGAGGCCCUCAGUUACUUUAGUUAUUAGCAGGGUUUUCAUGUAUAGGAAUAGUGAUAAAACCCUCAUUGUGAUUUUACUAUUAAAAAACAAAAAAUAUUAAAAUAAUUAAUUUGCCUUUUCAUUUUACUCCAAAAAAGUAAAGCAGAAAGUUUAAAACUUUAUAUGAUGUCACAGUCUGUUGUUCAACUUGCCGGUCACUAACGUUCUCUCACCCCUAAGAGGCGCUGGAGCUGCAGACCGGAGUGUUGACAGGUGUACGUCGUUGCUUCAUCAGCUGGAGGACUAUAUGACGGUGGUUCGCUGGCUUUUCUACGCCUGAGUGUUUUGCCUACCGUGGCUGUUCAUGCCAAGCUGGGUUUCCCCUCCUGAAUCCACCUCCCGUCAAGAUUGGAAUCUGCUGCAUCUGGCAGCCGCCCUUGCGAGUCCUCCAGCUGAAAGCGUAACCUGUCCACCCACUUUGCUACCUGGAACAUCAGAGCGCUCCAACGUUUCCGCGCAGGCUCACACCCCAGACUUGAACCGGCUCUUUCUCCCUGGCGGAUCGAUCGCCUCCCGAAAACCUGACUCCUGAUCAUUCUGCUCCCCUCGUUCCUGAGUCUGAAAAUAAAUAAAAGAAAACUUUUAAUU